rnacentral:rRNA from 1 species
CAGCGCCACAAGUGGGGACCGUUGUUAUUGGGCCUAAAGCGUCCGUAGCCGGCUUAGAAAAUUUUCUGUGAAAUUGUCAGGCUCAACCUGACAGCGUGCAGGGAACACUACUAAACUUGAGACCGGGAGGAGUCAGAGGUAUUCCAGGGGUAGCGGUAAAAUGCAAUAAUCCUUGGAGGACCACCUGUGGCGAAGGCGUCUGACCAGAACGGGUCUGACGGUGAGGGACGAAAGCUAGGGGAGCAAGCCGGAUUAGAUACCCGAGUAGUCC